UACGGAGGGUGCAAGCGUUGCUCGGAAUUAUUGGGCGUAAAGGGUAGGUAGGUGGUCUCAUUUGUCUGGGGUGAAAGCCUUGAGCUUAACUCAAGAAGUGCCCCAGAAACGGUGAGACUAGAGUCUUGGAGAGGGUCGUGGAAUUCCCGGUGUAGCGGUGAAAUGCGUAGAGAUCGGGAGGAACACCAGUGGCGAAGGCGACUACCUGGCCUGUUCUUGACGCUGAGGCGCGAAAGCUAGGGGAGCAAACGGG
rnacentral:rRNA from 1 species